GAAGCCUAGAAAUCAGCCACCUCGUCAGCUAUUCUCUUAACUUUAUCUCUUAUUAAAACCCUAAUCCGUUUCCCACCAUCAUCGGCUUCCCUUUCUCUCUUUCUCCCGACUCUAAUAUAUUCACCAGCACGAUUUCUGCCAUCGCCUUUCUUUCACCAUCACCUAACACAAUGGUCCUUUGUUCUUUCUAAAAACCCUAGAAGCCACUCAGUCAUUUGCUUCCCUCCCUGCUGUUUGAUACUUCCGAUUGGCUUCACUUAACGUCGUUGCUUCCCUCUUGUCAUUUUUGCUUCACACAGAUUUGGUACUUUUGAUAUCCUGAUGCUUUUCUUGAAAAAAAAUUGAACGCUUAUUUUUUUUACGGUUUCAGAUCAAUGAAAAACGAUUUCAAGCAUCCUUAUCUUCACAAUAGCCUUACAGAAGAAACUAUGGAACAAGCAUUGAAGCCGAACACAAUAGCAUUUUUUCACUUUUUGGAGACCAGAUCAGCAAGCUGAGAAUGUGAGAAAACAUGUUGAUCUACAAGUGGAAGAAUAUUGGGGUGAAAAAGGUUUUGCAUCUUAGCAACGAAAAUUGAAUCUUCUCACGUCCAACAACUCGUGCUAUUGGACCUUAUGCCAAAAAUCAUUACUUUGUGGCAGAAAAAAAAUACUACAUAAUUGGUUACCAAUUGCGGGAUUGUUCUUUUUGCUAUCUUAUGUAAAAAAGAGUAAGUACGUUGCUAUUAUUUCUUAAUCAAUGUAAGUAUAUUGCUAUUAUAGUUAAGUUUUUCUCAUGUAAAUGAUAAUUAUACUCAACUUAUAACAAGUAUUACAAAUUGAAAUUCA